CCCUGAUGGAAAAUUGGAUGGCAUUUUUACCCUUUGAUGGAAAAUUGGAUGGCAUUUUUACCCCUGAUGGAAAAUAUGAUGGCAUUUAUUCCAUCUGAUGGUAAAUAGGAUGGAAAUGAAAGAAUUUUGAUGGAAAUUGGACUUAAACAUUUUCUUUGAUGGAAAGAGGGAUGGUAUUUGGACUCUGUCAUUUUUCUUGAUGGAAAAAAACUUAGAAAUUUUUUCCAUCACAGGUGUCAGGUGCCAAUCUGUUUUCCUUUAACCUUUGUGUACAGGAUGUGACAUCAUAAAUGAACACAGAGUUUGAGGCCCAAUGAGGAGAGCACAUGUUUUUAUGCAUUCUUCUGCAAUAUCUCUAACUUAUAACAUAAAGAUAAACUACAAACUAUAAAUACAUAUUUUUUAUAUAAUUUAUAGCAAUUAUUCAAGAUUUAGAUAAUUA
rnacentral:lncRNA from 1 species